rnacentral:rRNA from 1 species
AGUGAACGCUGGCGGUAGGCCUAACACAUGCAAGUCGAACGGCAGCACAGUAAGAGCUUGCUCUUACGGGUGGCGAGUGGCGGACGGGUGAGGAAUACAUCGGAAUCUACUUUUUCGUGGGGGAUAACGUAGGGAAACUUACGCUAAUACCGCAUACGACCUACGGGUGAAAGCAGGGGAUCUUCGGACCUUGCGCGAUUGAAUGAGCCGAUGUCGGAUUAGCUAGUUGGCGGGGUAAAGGCCCACCAAGGCGACGAUCCGUAGCUGGUCUGAGAGGAUGAUCAGCCAAACUGGAACUGAGACACGGUCCAGACUCCUAAGGGAGGCAGGAGGGGGGAAUUUUGGACAAUGGGCGCAAGCCUGAUCCAGCCAUACCGCGUGGGUGAAGAAGGCCUUCGGGUUGUAAAGCCCUUUUGUUGGGAAAGAAAAGCAGCAGGUUAAUACCCCGCUGUUCUGACGGUACCCAAAGAAUAAGCACCGGCUAACUUCGUG